AGGAAAUAGAUACCCCGGUAGUCCACGCCGUAAACGAUGGGCACUAGGUGCUGGGGGGAGCGACCCCUUCAGUGCCGCAGCUAAACGCGAUAAGUGCCCCGCCUGGGGAGUACGGCCGCAAGGCUGAAACUCAAAGGAAUUGACGGGGGCCCGCACAAGCGGUGGAGCAUGUGGUUUAAAUUCGAAGCAACGCGAAGAACCUUACCUAGGUUUGACAUGUAGCUGAAAGCCUCUGGAAACAGGGGCCCUUCUUCGGAACAGCUACACAGGUGCUGCAUGGCUGUCGUCAGCUCGUGUCGUGAGAUGUUGGGUUAAGUCCCGCAACGAGCGCAACCCUUGCCCGUGUUACUAACAGGUAAAGCUGAGGACUCUCGGGGGACUGCCGGCGUCAAGCCGGAGGAAGGUGGGGACGACGUCAAGUCAUCAUGGCCCUUACGCCUAGGGCGACACACGUGCUACAAUGGCGAGGACAGAGGGCAGCGAAGCGGCAACGUGAAGCGAAUCCCAGAAACCUCGUCUAAGUUCGGAUUGUGGGCUGCAACUCGCCC
rnacentral:rRNA from 1 species